rnacentral:misc_RNA from 1 species
UGGCUCUCGCAUCGAUGAAGAACGCAGCGAAAUGCGAUAAGUAAUGUGAAUUGCAGAAUUCAGUGAAUCAUCGAAUCUUUGAACGCACCUUGCGCCCUCUGGUAUUCCGGAGGGCAUGCCUGUUUGAGUGUCAUGAAGACUUCAACCCCCCGGGUUUUUGCCCGGGAAGGUCGGAUCUGGGCGCCUGCCACGGUGUAAUACCCUUGGCUCGCCUGAAAUGUGUCAGUGGUGAUCAGGCCCUCGACGAGAGUAAUAAGUUUCUCUUGUGUUGGGUCGUAGGGAGCCGCUAAUAACCCCGCCGCGAGGCGACUUUUUGACUCUGACCUCAAAUCAGGUAGGACUACCCGCUGA